rnacentral:rRNA from 1 species
CCUACGGGUGGCAGCAGUGGGGAAUAUUGCACAAUGGGGGAAACCCUGAUGCAGCAACGCCGCGUGAGUGAUGACGGCCUUCGGGUUGUAAAGCUCUGUCUGCAGGGACGAAAAUGACGGUACCUGAGGAAGAAGCCACGGCUAACUACGUGCCAGCAGCCGCGGUAAUACGUAGGUGGCGAGCGUUAUCCGGAUUUACUGGGCGUAAAGGGAGCGUAGGCGGACGUUCAAGUGAGGUGUGAAAUCCCCGGGCUCAACCUGAGUGCUGCAUUUGAAACUGGAAGGCUGGAGUGCAGGAGAGGAGAAUGGAAUUCCUAGUGUAGCGGUGAAAUGCGUAGAGAUUAGGAAGAACACCAGUGGCGAAGGCGAUUCUCUGGACUGUAACUGACGCUGAGGCUCGAAAGCGUGGGGAGCAAACAGGAUUAGAUACCCGUGUAGUC